rnacentral:rRNA from 1 species
UACGUAGGGUCCGAGCGUUGUCCGGAAUUAUUGGGCGUAAAGAGCUCGUAGGCGGUUUGUCGCGUCUGCUGUGAAAUCCCGAGGCUCAACCUCGGGUCUGCAGUGGGUACGGGCAGACUGGAGUGCGGUAGGGGAGAAUGGAAUUCCUGGUGUAGCGGUGGAAUGCGCAGAUAUCUGGAAGAACACCAAUGGCGAAAGGCACCAUCCUGGGAAGGCAUCUGACGCUCAGGUGCGAAAGCUAGGGGAGCGAACGGG